GCUAAGUCAUAGGAGCAGCAUCCUCACCUCUACCCUUCCUCUAUGAUACAACCCAGUCAUAAGCUAUGUCCUGCAACCUGUAAACCACCAACUCAAUACUUUCUUUCUCAAAAACAUGCAUCACCUGCGUGAUCUUUCUCACCUCCUCCAAGUACAACUGUGGGUCCUCAUCUGCCUUAGACCCAUAAAACUCUAGCAGAUUCAUUCGAAUGAAAUCACAAAUCCUAGUUGCGGC
rnacentral:lncRNA from 1 species